UCCGUAGGUGAACCUGCGGAAGGAUUAUUACCUAGCCUUGGGCCGCUCGCAGGAGCUAGUCGCUUGCGACGACGCUGCUAAGGGUGCUUAGCCCUUGACUAUUACCUUGACUACGUGCACCUUUUGUUGUUUCCUUGGUAGGUUAUCUACCGCUAGGAACCUUUUAAACCUUUUUGCAAUAGUAUCUAAAACUUCUAAAAACAAACUAAAAUUAUUUACAACUUUUAACAAUGGAUCUCUUAGUUUUGGCAUUGAUGAAGAACGUAGCGAAAUGCGAUAAGUAGUGUGAAUUGUAGAAUUUAGUGAAUUAUCGAAUCUUUGAACGCACAUUGCGCCCUAUGGUAUUUUGUGGGGUAUGCCUGUUUGAGCGUUAUUUACCCCCUUAAGCUUUGCUUGGUGUUGGGCGUUUGUUUCGCUUCGUGCGCGGACUUGCCCUAAAGGUAUUGGCAGUGGUCGUGCUAGCUUCUUGCGCAGUAUAUUGCGCUUCUUGAGGCACUGGCGGGCCUGCGUCUAUUAAGCUUACCCCCCUAGUUUGACCUUGGAUUAGGUAGGGAUACCCGCUGAACUUAAGCAUAUCAAUAAGCGGAGGGAAGUCGGACUGG
rnacentral:rRNA from 1 species